UACGUAGGUGGCAAGCGUUGUCCGGAUUUACUGGGCGUAAAGAGCGCGCAGGCGGUCGUUCAAGUCGCGUGUGAAAGCCCCCGGCUCAACUGGGGAGGGUCACGCGAUACUGAUCGACUCGAAGGCAGGAGAGGGAAGUGGAAUUCCUGGUGUAGCGGUGAAAUGCGCAGAUAUCGGGAGGAACACCGGUGGCGAAGGCGGUUCUCUGGGCCUUACCUGACGCUGAGGAGCGAAAGCGUGGGGAGCGAACAGG
rnacentral:rRNA from 1 species